UUCCUGGGGGAGUCCUCGCGGACUGAGAUUCCGGCACCGUGCACCGACGACACGACCGGUAACCCUUCGAACCUGAUCCGGAUCAUGCCGGCGAAGGGAAGGA
rnacentral:ncRNA from 1 species